rnacentral:rRNA from 1 species
AUCAUGGCUCAGAGUGAACGCUGGCGGCGUGCUUAACACAUGCAAGUCGAACGGUAACAGGAAGUAGCUUGCUACUUUGCUGACGAGUGGCGCACGGGUGAGUAAUAUAUAGUUAAUGUACCUCAAAGACUGGGAUAGCCACUGGAAACGGUGAUUAAUACUAGAUAUACCUUUAUAACAAAAGUUGUAAAGGGAAAUGUUUUUUCGCUUUGAGAUCAGACUAUAUCCCAUCAGUUAGUUGGUAGUGUAAGAGACUACCAAGGCAAUGACGGGUAGCGGGUUUGAGAGGAUGAUCCGCCACACUGGUACUGAGACACGGACCAGACUCCUACGGGAGGCAGCAGUGAGGAAUAUUGCACAAUGGAGGAAACUCUGAUGCAGCAACGCCGCGUGGAGGAUGACGCAUUUCGGUGUGUAAACUCCUUUUAUGAGUCAAGAAAAUGACGGUAGCUCAUGAGUAAGCACCGGCUAACUCCGUG